CAUGGCCAGUCAGUAAGCUUUGUCCAACUAGCAGAGCUGCUCAUUCCUGAACUUGUUGCUAAAACUGUGAUGCUGAAGCAAAAGUUCUUCCUAGACAAUAAAUUACUGGUGAUUCUAUCGCGGGGCUAGAGAUCAGAGUUAUUUCUGUCUACCUCCAGCAAUAUCCAGCAUGGAUACCUGAGGCCUGCCUGAACUCUGCUGCCAAGCUUCAGACCUAAUCUACGCACACUUGCUGUUCCACGCCAGGAUCUGAAUGGUGACCCCACUCUCUUGGGAUCACUGGAAAUCGAGGCUCCCCUCUCCUGUGAUUCCCUGCAGUGGCAGAUUUGCAUAUGGCACAACGCUGAUCCCAACCCAGGAAAUUUGAAUGAGAGUAAAGAUCUGUCCCCAGUCCUGGUGUUUUCCAAGUCUGCUCACCCAGCUACGCCCGGACACAUGGAGCGUCAAAGGCUUCCCUGGAGAGGAGGGGGUUGCUGUGCAAACGUUCUACCAUCAACCACAGAAAAUGUCCUAUGGAAGAUCGAAGGUUGACAAGCCUAAGAUCCUCCCCAGUAGACUGGUCCUCUGAUGAUGGUUCUAAUUCCCUGGUGGCAAACCGCCAUGGGGACAGGAGUGCAGUUUGGUCUCCAUGGACUGCUUUGCUGAGAUGCAGCCAAUGCCUUCUUCAUUAUGAGCCCCACUGCCUAUUAAGACAAUCAAAAGAGGUUUGUCUGGGGGUGCUGCCAGUUUUACUGAUGGAGGAUACACAGGCCUUGAACAGCACUUUUCCAGGCCUUGUUCUCCCUCCAGUUUUCCAAACCUUGUUCUGUGGCUACAGUAGAGCUCCGAGAAGCUGAUAUGAGCUCUUCUGGCCUUGGCUCUUCUUCCUCUUCUAAUAAAGUUGUGAAAUG